rnacentral:pre_miRNA from 1 species
AGCAAGAUUGCUGGAUCAUAUGGUAAGAGUUUGUUUAGUUUUGUAAGAAACUGCCAAACUGCCUUCCAAAGUGGCUGUACCAUUUUGCAUUUACACCAGCAAU